AUGGGGCACUGCCAGAGAGUGCCCACUGAGAGGAACAAGAGGGAUCUGGAACCCAUGGAGAAUAUCCGAUUCUCUGACCAGAACCUGGUGUUCCAUGAUGGAGACGCAGUGGUGUUUGCAGGGCCUGCAGGCAACUGUGUGGAGACACAGGGAGAACUGCUGAGCAGAGUCUCCUUCAGACACCACCAAAGCUGUGCUGUGCAAGGCUGGAGGAACAGGGCCUGGGGAGGAGAAGCAGUUCCUGGAGGUGUGUAAGAAGGAUUGGAAGCUCAAGAGUUUCCACCUGUCAGCACUGAGAAACAUGGGCUCGUUUGUGAGAGCGACUGCUUUGGCUGCCUGUCCUGGUUGUACUUGGAGACACAUUUGUUGUAUGUGGCAGACAAGAAGUGCCCCAACGAUGAGUCCUUCUUGCAGACCAAAGCCUUGGACAUCAGUGCCAGCAAUGGUAAGAUAAUCAGGCCAAAGACAUCAUACCAGGCCAUCAAGAGGGAUCACUUUGUGUUUUACAAAGACUGGGGAGAAAACAUAGUUUCCAAAAGCACCUCUGUGUUCUGUGUGUCAGAUGUCGACAGUAGCAACAUCUCUGCACUUGAGGGGAUCCCUGAGAAUGUGCCUCCUGGGAAGGCAUUCUGGGCUGUUGAUGACACAGGUGUGGUGUUCAUGGGCUGGCGGCAUGAGCCUUUCUGGCUCGGCAUCUGCUUUUGCACCAAUUACAGGUCAGCCCUGUACUAUGUGGACCUCAUUCAGGUGAAUAUUGUGACCUCCUCUCAGAUAACUCGUCUCUGAUGACACCCCUGCUGUCUCUUCUCCCUGGAUGAGCCCAGACCAGUGUAGCAUUGUCCGCAUGAUCAGUGUGCCUGUAUGACUGGUAUACCAGGGUCACCUUGGUCGUGGUGGAUGUUGCGCCUCGGCAGCUGGGAUACAACUUCUCUGGGAUCUACAGUAGCCCUUCUGCCUCUGGGAUGCUGGUCAGCUGACAGCCAGAGAGUGGUCUGCCACUCUGCUCAGCACAGCCAGCAGGACCUGUUUGUUGUGGAUGCCCAGCUGGUAGCUGUUCACAAUUGACUGGGACCUCAUGGUGGCACAGUGUUCCACAUCCAGCCUACCGCCAAGCUGAAAGUUGGGUUCCUGCCUCCUGAAGGGAAGGAACAGUUGGUGUUGUAGGUGUCCCUGGAGGAGGCCGAGUCCAUUCCUGACAUCUACGGGGACAUCUGGGUGCUUCAGCCACCCCCAGAACAAGAGUGCAGUAUUCUGGCCUUGACUUGGAAGCAAUACUUCGGCAGCCCAGAAACCCACCAGAAAAGACCCAGGUGCCCAUGGUGGUCAUGCCCUACAGGGGUCCUAUUUAUCCCAUGUUACUGUCUGGAUGCUGUUCCCUGCCAUGCCUUGCAAGAUGGGUCUAUUGCACUACUAGUGAACUAUCGUGGCUCCACGGGCUUUGGCCAGGACGGCAUCCUUUCCUUCCUGAGAAUGUGGGCCACCAAGAUGUGAAGGACAUCCAGUUUGCCGUGGAGCAGGCACUGCGGGAGGAGCACUUUGACGCAAGCCACAUGGCUCUUAUUGGUGGUUCUCACAGUGGAGACCUCUCCUGCCACCUGAUUGGCCAGUACCCAUGACCUAUGGUGCCUGCGUGACCCGGAACCAGAGGUCAACAUCUCCUCCGUGAUGGGCUCCACUGACGUCCCUGACUGGUGCAUGGUGGAAGCUGUCUUCCCUCUGCCUGCCAGAUCUCAGUGUGUGGGCUGAGUUACUGGAUAAGUCGUCCACCAAAUACAUCCCUCAGGUGAAGACUCUGCUGUUACUGAUACUCCUGGGCCAGGAGCACUGGCGCAUGCCCUUCAAGCAGGGCAUGAGUAUUACUGUGCCCUUAAGGCCCGGAAUGUACCUGUUUGGCUCCUGCUUACCCCAGAAGCACAUAGGCACUAUCAGGUGGAGAUGGACUCAGAAAACUCCACGAAUGCUGCGCUCUGGCUAUGCACAAACUUGGACAGCCAAAGCCCUGCCAUUCUGUAUGAGUUGGUCAGCCUGUGCCGACCUUCACUCACGGGGAGCCCCAGGGUCUGGCAGAGCAACAAGAGGCUUUCUGGGCACUGA